UAGGGAAUAUUGCUUAAUGGGCGAAAGCCUGAAGCAGCAACGCCGCGUGUGCGAUGAAGGCCUUCGGGUUGUAAAGCACUUUUUGAGGGGAUGAGGAAGGACAGUACCCUCAGAAUAAGUCUCGGCUAACUACGUGCCAGCAGCCGCGGUAAAACGUAGGAGGCGAGCGUUAUCCGGAUUUACUGGGCGUAAAGCGCGUGCAGGCGGCUCGAAAAGUUGGAUGUGAAAGCUCCUGGCUUAACUGGGAGAGGUCGUUCAAUACUUUCGGGCUUGAGGAUGGGAGAGGGAGGUGGAAUUCCGGGUGUAGUGGUGAAAUGCGUAGAUAUCCGGAGGAACACCAGUGGCGAAGGCGGCCUCCUGGCCCAUUUCUGACGCUCAGACGCGAAAGCUAGGGUAGCAAACGGGAUUAGAGACCCCCGGUAGUCCUAGCUGUAAAACGAUGUAGACUUGGCGUUGGUGGGUUCAAAUCCAUCAGUGCCGGAGCUAACGCGUUAAGUCUACCGCCUGGGGGACUACGGCCGCAAGGUUAAAAACUCAAAGGAAUUGACGGGGUCAUAGCUGUUUCCU
rnacentral:rRNA from 1 species